UACAGAGGGGCCGAGCGUUACUCGGAAUUACUGGGCGUAAAGCGCACGUAGGUGGCGACGUAAGUCGGGUGUGAAAGCCCCGGGCUCAACCUGGGAAUUGCAUUCGAGACUGCAUUGCUGGAGUACGGAAGAGGAGGGCGGAAUUCCCGGUGUAGCGGUGAAAUGCGUAGAUAUCGGGAGGAACAUCAGUGGCGAAGGCGGCCCUCUGGUCCAGUACUGACACUCAAGUGCGAAAGCGUGGGGAGCAAACAGG
rnacentral:rRNA from 1 species